rnacentral:lncRNA from 1 species
AAUCGCAACACUUGAAAUUGUAAACGACCGCCAAAAAAAAAAAAAAAUAAAGUAAAAUAAAAUAAAAUAAAAUAAAAUAAAAUACCGUUCGACUUAUAAGAAACACUGGAUAAUAAAAAUGAAAACCCAGAGCGUGAGAGAAAGAAAGAAAGAAAGAAAGAACGAGAUAUUUGCGGAUCCAAGAAAUGGAUGAGAUGGAUGCGUGGAUCCAGAUGAAUGGAUGACUAUUUCAAAAACACGUGUGGGUUGAUCGAUUCGUCAAACGUAUGUAUGUGUGAAUUUACGCGCAGAGUAUUCGAGGAUGUAGUGUUCGGCAUGUACAUAAUUCUGUAUAUACGAACGAAUCACUGACUGUACAAUACCACCCAAAUAUAUUUAUAUUUCAUGUUAAAACAACUUCGAUACUAUUUAUUUCUUCGUUCCAGCUACUACUGCUUUUCGUGUUAAUCAAAUUUGCCUAUGCAAAAUACGCGUUAUAGAGAAGAAUUUCUCUCUCUCUACGUGCCGUAGGAAGAAAGACACGCGUUGUGUUGUCUCCUAUCGUAAAAGUGGAAGGAAACAGGAAGAAGGGGGAACCGUAUGUAACAGUGAUUUUCACUGAGAACUGAAUCGACAAAUUUUACUAACGGCAAUAUGACGCGUGCGUAUCGUCAAGGAGAACCAGUCCAUUGGCGGCUCGUGUACGAAGUUUAAUGAUCACCGGGAAUCUUCUUAUUUUCGUUGUUAUAUUCUCGCCGUCUUCUUCCGUUUUCCUUAUUCUCGACGGAUUGCGUAACGCGCACGCGCUCGUCAAAUAAAUUACGUGCGAUCUUAUGUUAUCUUGGACACCGAAUUACUUUCUACGUCGUAAAGAAAGAAAGAAAGAAAGAAAGAAAGAAAAAAAAAAAGAACGUCACAGGCUAUCGUAUUUAUUUUAAAAGCGUUUAAACAUAAUUAAAUGCAAAAUCUUUUAACCUUUGAGCGCGUAACCUCUCCUAUUUGAACUGAAUAAACUUGCAUACGAAAGGUGUGCGACCCCGGCGGCCACAAUGAAAUACAGGAACCACGCUUCCUGGUGCAAUUUCAGCCUUUUGUUGCCAUUAUUUUUGUCAUGACGUUUCAUUCUAUUUAACAUUCCUUCGGUCUGAUAGCUGGUAUUGUUUUUUUCAGUGUGCGCCAUGGCCUCGCUCGAUAAUGUCCCCUAUCGCAAUGGAACAAUUUGUUGAAAAUACUUCCUUUUCUUUUUAUUUUCUUUUCUCUAAAAUUAUCGACAAGCUUGCGAUUAAAUACAACCGUAUAAAUACGAUGACUUUACGAUUCUUUGUUAUUCAUGAUAUUCCGGCGAAAUACGCCACUUUCCGUAGUAUACUUGCCAUGACGUCAUUAGUCUUCUAUUGUAUUCGAUGACACGCUUCUAUCGAACUCGAUACGGAAUUAUAGUUGCCACGGGGAAUUGUAGAUUACUCUGCAACGUUUUACAGACACAUAUCAUGGAACGUAUUUUUUAACAAAACUUCCUGAGUUUUCUCAUAAAGUUGGAUCGAUUCAUACGUAAUAAAAAAAGACGCGUGUAGGAUGUUGUAAUUUGGAAAAUCACUCUGGUAUAAAUAAGUUUGGCACGUAUCAUUACGUGUAUAAUAUGCACUUAUCUUCGUACUUUCGUGUAUAAUAAAUUUUUUUUUUUUUUUUUUUUUUUUGACAAAACUGACAUGUCGCGCACAAAGCAAAAAUGCAAACGAAAUUAGGGCUCGAAACUUUCGAUGUAUACGCGCGCGUUUCAAGUUUCGUAUCAUCGAUCGUCUCCUUAAAUGAAAGAAGUCCGGUUUGAUUGCAUUACCAAGUGCAUCAAGGACUAGAGAGAUGGUCAGAGAGUGUAAGCUACGUGAAGCGCAUCGAUAUUUUCGAGCCGCAAAUUUUCACAUGUUCCUGCGAUUUCCUUUUAGCGUACCGCAAGUUGGUACGCCAUACAUUCCGACCAUCGUAUAUGUACCAUUCUCUUUUUAACUUGUUCGUUUUUUAAACGAACAAUAAAGGAUAUCUUUUUUAUUCGCAAAUUUUUACUUGAUAUUUUAAACAUUUAUAGGAAAUACAACUGCGUAUAUCCAUUAUUAAAAUAUUUUUGAAAAAUGAAAGAUGAAAUAGUCGAAGUGUUUCCAUCUCUGCGUCAUUGAAUUAAUUCUUACGUAUACAAUUUGUAUGCGAAAUAAUGAAUAUAUCGUUAUCGAAUUAAUUAUACGAUAGUAUAUUUGACAAUAAACUUUUCAUGUUUAUAUUUCAAAAUAAAAAUUUUUCGGCCAUAUGAUUUUGUUCUAUACAUAUUCUCAACGCGUUACGCCUAUGCGAAGGCCCCGUAUUCAGGACCCACAUGGAACAGUGAAAAGGAUAAGCACAAGAGUCUUGGUUCAAUUGCUGAGUUAACAAUCGGGCAACGAUUCGCUAUAACGCUCCAGAGUUGUCAAAAUCAAUUGACAUUGAGAAGAGAAGAUUAGAUAUUCCAAGCGCC